GUGGUGGCGGCAGCAGUAGUCUCCUCUCAGCGUCUCGUCCCUUCCAAAAACUCUAGCUUCUACCUGUCUCCUAGACGUUCGUCUGAUCCUCUAUCUGCACAGGGGCAACCAGCUGGGAUUAUGGUUUUUGGGGAGAAACGGGACGGGGAAGGAGAUAUGGUGUGCCGCCAUCGCCACUCGCCACGGCCCAUUUUCCCCUCGGAAGAGAGCUCUCUGGAUACUCGGAUGGAUUUCUAGGGGCUCGUGGCUCAGGAAGAACAAGAGCAAGGAAGGAGAUGAUGCGCACAUGAGGAAGCUACAAGCCGCACAAGCCCCUUUUUCUUCCUUGUCCUUCUAUCAGCCUUAAUCAAUGGGAUUUAUUUGUGUAUUUCUCCACAUGUGUUUUUUCUUAUGAAUUUUCUAGAAUAUGCUGGUGCCUGUACCCAAGGACUUACUUCAGAUUGUACAGUUGAAGACGGUGGUCGUGCAGUGGAGGACCUGUUUCAGCAAGAAAGAUUUAUCAUGUAUGAAAGCCAAGACCAGAAUAUGAAUAUUUUGCUUGCAUCCCUUAGCUGUGUGCAAAGCCGUAAAUGCCAGCUACAAGUCAAUGUGGUCUGCUAUUCAUGUAUGGAUUAACUCUUUUCCGAGGCAAAAUGCUGACUUGGUCAUGGUUAUAUCACAAACAAAUAUGACUGCUUGUAACCGUAUGUUACAUCUAAUUAUUCACUAAUCAUUGUUGAAGUUACCUUUGGGGAUAGGAUGAUGUGAUGAGAAUUCUUCAGAUACUUUUGCUCAAAAUGGCUGGACAUUUUGUGGUGUGGCAUUUGGAUAGCAAAGGUCUGCAGUCCGUUAAACAAGUCUACAAGCUUCAGGUUUAGUUGGACAAUCAAUUCCAUGGGAUGGAUGUGGGAAGUAGCUCAAUCAAUCCGGGAAACAUUGGAAGCUGUAGUGACAACUUCUGCUGCCGCAUUUGAGUUUUGUCUUGUCCUUCCAAAAUCAAGGUGUUUGCUCAGGGAGUAGACAACAAUUCUCUGGCUCUGCAUGUAAACCUGAAAGUAAGAGGGAAUAGUCAUGGAGGAUAUGAAGUGACUUGUUUGUGGAUGGGAAGAUGAAGAUGGGAAUCAACUUUUUUAUCUAAUGCAAAUUGAUUAAAGCAAUAUGACGUGGCCUCUGUUUGGAUUGAUGUAGAUCUGUGCUGGCAAAGAUGCAAUCGAUUAGGGCUACUGUGAACUAAUUUGGAAAUUUUCAGAACUGAAUCUUUUUCAGAUCCUUGCUGGUGGUACAUGUGGAAUAACAGAAACAAAAUUCAAGGGGAUGAUCGAUGCACCACUGCCAGCGCAUGAAGUGGUGCAUAAAACGGUGCUAUACAAUCGGAGUACCUAGAAAUUUUCAAGAAGGAAAAAAGGCAAGGAGAAGAAUGAUGAGGGGUAAGUGAAAGCCUCGGCUGAAGGAUAUUGACAUUUUGACAUAAAUGGCUCUUAAAUUCAUAGGGGUGCCUUGGCCAGUUGGGGUGUUAUCACCACAGAUAAGGGGAGGUCGUAGCUCCUCUACCGGGAAUGAAAGAUCACGUCCAUGAUGCCAUCUGAGCAGAACUGUGUGUGAAGUUGUUGGGUUGGCUACUCAACUUGGCGGGAUCAAAGUCUGUUUGGAAAUAGAUUUGCAUCUCAAUGCCAUGGAAUCGCUGACUCCUCCACAUAUGCGAGUAUAUUGGAAGAUGUUAAGGUGCAGCUCAAAACUUGGUUCUCUAGGUGAGAUAUCAACCAAUGCAGAAGAGAAGGAAACAUUCAUGACGUCAGGUAAGUUUGUAGAUUGUUUUCUCUUAAUGACUUUCUAUCGUGGGAGUUUCAUAUACCGGCGGAGGUUGCCACUUGUAAGGGACGAAAU